rnacentral:rRNA from 2 species
UAAGACUCUCGGCAAUGGAUAUCUUGGCUCUUGCAUCGAUGAAGAGCGCAGCGAAAUGCGAUACGUGGUGCGAAUUGCAGAAUCCCGUGAACCAUCGAGUUUUUGAACGCAAGUUGCGCCUGAGGCCAUCUGGUCGAGGGCACGUCCGCCUGGGCGUCAUGC